UUGCCCAAAUUAUUUAUUCAUCGACCGAAGAAUUAGAAACAUAAACAAGUUGUAAUAUUUAUAGUAUCAUUUGACUUUUGAAUAUAGAAAUUAUACAAUUUCAAAAUAUCUUGGAGUCAUAAUUUGACGCUUUUUGAAAUCAGAUUUGAAAUAAAAAGGAAGAUGGCGACUGAAAGCGAGUGUCCUGAGGGCGGGGAGCCGGUAGACCUGUAUAUCUAUGACCUGACGCAGGGGCUUGCUGCUCUUCUAUCACCAGCUAUCAUGGGUCGGCAGGUGGAGGGCGUGUGGCACACGUCGUUGGUGGUGUUCGGUCGCGAGUACUACUACGGAGGCGGGGGCAUCGCCUCUGCACCUAUCGGCGGCACGAUGGCGGGUCAACCUCGCGAGAUACAGCGACUCGGCGUGACGUAUGUCCCGGCGGCGGUUUUCCGCGAGUAUUUGCAGGGGCUGGCUGCCACGACGUUCGCUGGCUCAGCGUACUCCCUCCUAGAGCACAACUGCAACCAUUUCACAGACGAAGUAGCACAGUUUCUAUGCGGCGCGCGCAUACCCAAGCACAUCGUGCAACAGCCUGAAACGGACUUACCCCCUCCCUUCCGCGCCGCUUUGGAAAAUUUACUGCGGGCGCCAGACGGUGGCCAGUCGAUCAACGGCGGAGGCGUGCGGUAUGACCGGCAGGACAGCCCGGACUAUCUCACACUCAACACUCAGAUCGAGGAAGCCAGGGCCCAAUCAACGGUCUUGGAGCAGAGACGUACCGCACUAGCCGACAAAUUGGCUCGUAAGGAGCGCCGCCGCGAAAAGAAACGCCGCAAGCAGGGCGGGGGCGACCAGAGCACUGAACAAGACAUGGCAGAAGCAGUCGAAGCACCCCCACAAGAAGAGCUGCGCGCCCGCGCCGGGCCCAGCAGCGAGCCAGAAGAAGACGAACGUGGUGCUGCCGAGCUGAGGCGCAGGGCCAAGGACCCGCCCAUCACCUUCAAGGACAUCGACGGUGCCGCAGAGUUCGCAAAGCUGCAAGCGGCCGUGGGCAACCUCAACUUAUCUCCCGAAGAACACCAGUCGCUCAGCGAGCUGGAACAGUACUUGGUACAGGGAGAAGGUAGCUGGGCGCUUGGAGACGAGUUCCUCGCGUUUAUCGGUCGUCUGCUAAACGCCGACAGCUCGGAAGAGAUCCGGGUGGCCACGCUGCGCUGCCUGGCCGCCAUGGCGCUGCGCGACGACGUGUCGCUGCUGCUGCACCAGGACCGGCGCUCGCACGCCGUCAUGAACUACGCGCGCCGCAUCGACGCGCUGCCGCCCGCCGAGCAGGCCGCGCUGGCUCUGGCGCUCUGCAACCUGUUCGAGAACAUCUCCUCAUCAGAGUGGCUGCUGUACAUCAGCGAGUGGGAGGUGGAAGGCCAGCCCGUCUCCAACAUCCGUGUCACCACUAAGGUGGCCGUGCACGCGACGCUGAGCGAGGACGCGACGCUGCGGGACAUCGGCACCGCGCUCAUGUACAACAUGGCCACCAAGGAGGUAAAGACCGUGGUGUUCGACGACGUCUCCGUGGAGCUGGCCAUGGCGCUGCUGCAACUGCUGGCUGGAGCGCCUGGAGAAGAACUGCUGUUCCGGGCCGUGGCCGCGCUUGCCCGUCUUGCACACCACUCGUCAGAAGUCGGACAGCUGGUCGCCAUGGUCGGUCCUCCGCCCGAUAACUACAGGUAAUUAUAUGGUGAUGCAACUGCUGGUCGGAGUGCCCGGAGAAGAACUGCUGUUCCGGGCCGUAGCCGCGCUUGCCCGUCUUGCACACCACUCGUCAGAAGUCGGACAGCUGGUCGCCAUGGUCGGUCCUCCGCCCGAUAACUACAGGUAAUUAUAUGGUGAUGCAACUGCUGGUCGGAGUGCCCGGAGAAGAACUGCUGUUCCGGGCCGUAGCCGCGCUUGCCCGUCUUGCACACCACUCGUCAGAAGUCGGACAGCUGGUCGCCAUGGUCGGUCCUCCGCCCGAUAACUACAGGUAAUUAUAUGGUGAUGCAACUGCUGGUCGGAGUGCCCGGAGAAGAACUGCUGUUCCGGGCCGUAGCCGCGCUUGCCCGUCUUGCACACCACUCGUCAGAAGUCGGACAGCUGGUCGCCAUGGUCGGUCCUCCGCCCGAUAACUACAGGUAAUUAUAUGGUGAUGCAACUGCUGGUCGGAGUGCCCGGAGAAGAACUGCUGUUCCGGGCCGUAGCCGCGCUUGCCCGUCUUGCACACCACUCGUCAGAAGUCGGACAGCUGGUCGCCAUGGUCGGUCCUCCGCCCGAUAACUACAGGUAAUUAUAUGGUGAUGCAACUGCUGGUCGGAGUGCCCGGAGAAGAACUGCUGUUCCGGGCCGUAGCCGCGCUUGCCCGUCUUGCACACCACUCGUCAGAAGUCGGACAGCUGGUCGCCAUGGUCGGUCCUCCGCCCGAUAACUACAGGUAAUUAUAUGGUGAUGCAACUGCUGGUCGGAGUGCCCGGAGAAGAACUGCUGUUCCGGGCCGUAGCCGCGCUUGCCCGUCUUGCACACCACUCGUCAGAAGUCGGACAGCUGGUCGCCAUGGUCGGUCCUCCGCCCGAUAACUACAGGUAAUUAUAUGGUGAUGCAACUGCUGGUCGGAGUGCCCGGAGAAGAACUGCUGUUCCGGGCCGUAGCCGCGCUUGCCCGUCUUGCACACCACUCGUCAGAAGUCGGACAGCUGGUCGCCAUGGUCGGUCCUCCGCCCGAUAACUACAGGUAAUUAUAUGGUGAUGCAACUGCUGGUCGGAGUGCCCGGAGAAGAACUGCUGUUCCGGGCCGUAGCCGCGCUUGCCCGUCUUGCACACCACUCGUCAGAAGUCGGACAGCUGGUCGCCAUGGUCGGUCCUCCGCCCGAUAACUACAGAGGCAUGAGUCCGCGCUGCGACGAGAAGAUAGACCUCAUCAUGCAAAAAGUGAAGUAAACCUAGACUAGACCUUAUCACCAUAGCAUAGAAUAUAUUUCACCGACGCAUUUUCUCGCGGUUCCAUACCUCGUUUAUUGGUACUUAGAAAUUUAUUUUCACUAGCGCGGGCCGGCCUUAUUUAUCAUUGUUAUUAAUUUAUUGAAAUACAUAUUUAUUUAUGUAAUAUUUGCAAUUUUAAAUGCAUUUGUUCUUUGGCAGGCGCUGCGAAGUUAGAUUUUGGUUAUUGUAAAUAAAGUUAGAUAUCGGUAAGGGAAUUUUAGUGUAAGUACCUGAAUUUAAUGAGAUGUAUUGUAUUGUUACUAAUAAAGAUAUUGCGGUUAUCGGCGGAUGCUGACUGACAUUAUAUUUAUGAACUGAA